GGCUGAUGUUGCAGUUGCUUUAUUCUGCGCCUUGUUAUUUGGUGUGCUUAUAUUAUCAUCAUAUGUGGCCCUUUAUUUACGACAUUACUGGAGUUCCUUUCUCAUUAUAAGCCUUGCCAUUACCCUUCCAGUGCGUCUGAGAAUGUUACGACAGGCUCAUGCAAGAAAGAAAGUAAGACAGUUACCUUUGUCUAUGUGAACUUCCUUCUACUUCUGGAAGCACCAAACAGUGGUUUAAGUGAAAGGAAUACCUUUUGCACAAAAGUGCUCUCCAAUUGUAGUAAUACAGUUCUUUGAUCUUCGUCACAUAGGCUGACCAAUCUUCUGCUGUGAAAGAUGGG
rnacentral:misc_RNA from 1 species